CGGGACGUAGCGCAGCUUGGUAGCGCACUUCCUUGGGGUGGAAGGGGUCGUCAGUUCGAAUCUGAUCGUUCCGACCA
rnacentral:tRNA from 2 species